rnacentral:rRNA from 1 species
AUUGAACGCUGGCGGCAGGCCUAACACAUGCAAGUCGAGCGGAUGAGGGGAGCUUGCUCCCUGCUUUCGCGGCGGACGGGUGAGUAAUGCCUAGGAAUCUGCCUGGUAGUGGGGGAUAACGUUCCGAAAGGAACGCUAAUACCGCACACGUCCUACGGGUGAAAGCCGGGGACCUUCGGGCCUUGCGCUAUCAGCUGAGCCUAGGUCGGAUUAGCUAGUUGGUGAGGUAAUGGCUCACCAUGGCGACGAUCCGUACCUGGUCUGAGAGGAUGACCAGUAACACGGAAACUGAGACACGGUCAAGACUCCUACGGGGGGCAGCAGUGGGGAAUAUUGGACAAGGGGCGAAAGCCUGAGCCAGCCAGGCGGCGGGUGUGAAGAAGGUCUUCGGAUGGUAAAGCACGUUAAGUUGGAAGAAAGGGCUGCUGGUUAAUACCCUGCAGUUUUGACGUUACCAACAGAAUAAGCACCGGCUAACUCCGG